rfam:Asian citrus Psyllid, Diaphorina citri - Florida Strain, whole genome shotgun sequence.
GCCUAGUUAGCUUAGUUGGUAGAGUCUCUCCCUUGUAAGUGUUAGGCCGCGGGUUCGAUUCCCGCCCGGGGCG